AACGCACAUGGCGCCCCCCGGUAUCCCGGGGGGCAUGCCUGUCCGAGCGUCGUUUCAACCCUCGGGCUCUUAGUAGCCCGGCGUUGGGGACCUACGCGCCGUCGUAGGCCCCGAAAAGCAGUGGCGGACCCGCGCCGGCCCCCCCUUUGCGUAGUAGCAUCAGCCUCGCAUCGGGAGCCCGCGGGACCUCCGGCCUCUAAACCCCACUAAAGCCCGCUCCGGCGGCACCAAGGUUGACCUCGGAUCAGGUAGGAAUACCCGCUGAACUUAA
rnacentral:misc_RNA from 1 species